rnacentral:lncRNA from 1 species
GUAUAUCCAUAGUAAGCGAAAAGCUGACAUCCUUUUUUGGUCUGUAUAUUCUAGUAUGUUUGCUCUACAAAAGAAGAUACGUAAAAGGAACUGAAAGUAUCUGAAAAGUAAUAAAGAUAAAAAGUAAAUUGAAUUUGAUGACAAAAGAGAACAACAACAAAAGUACAGUAUCUUUGAGAAAAUGUAUUAAACUAUAAGUUAUAGAAAACGUUGAUCUAUACAUAUACAAGAGUUUGGUGACAUAUACUGAUGUUGAGACACAAUACUGAUAGAUUGAUAUGUGAAAACAUACAUCCACAAAAUGUAAAAGCCACAUGAUUAGAAAAAUAUUUGUUCUCUCCUUGAAUAGUCUAUAUGCUUGCUAGUUCCAUUCUAUGGCUGCAGAUAAUAGUUUCACCAUUGAUAACCAAACAAUCCAACUGCCCUUUGAAAUAAAUAGAAAGGAAAAAAAGAUUAAAGAAAGUUCUUAGUGCUACUGCUGCUGUUGAUAAUGAUGUUAUAAAGGGGCUUUGAUGAUUGCUUCCUUCCUUUCUGGACUAUGUUCAUUCACAACAUAGAGAAUAACACAUCCUAUAUAUUAGCAGGGCGACCCGGUUAUGGCUUUAAAUAGAAAACUGGUGUCUGCAGCCAUGGCAGUGUUGCUCGUCUUUUGCUUUGUUCGAAAAUAGCAAAUUUGAGACCUCCAUAACCUAUUUCAUUCUUCUGGAUGGUGAUUCUUGUCAGGUCAAAAAACCAAUAGACCCUUGUGUUCUGGUCCUUCUCUGGAACUCGUGUACAGUUGGAAAUCAUGUACAGUAGGAUAUUAAUGCAGGAUCUUAAUGCACAGGACUGAAUUUUUUAAACUAGGAAAGUCUCUUGUUUUUUUUUUUGUAUGUGUUACUGUGUUGAUAGAAGUUACAUAAAGAGGCAGUGAUGAUGGUGUUUCUGUUUCCAGGCUAACCAAUUUUGGCAUGGAAUGACCCG